GAGGGUACAGCUCAGUGGCAGAGCACGUGCUUAGCAUGCAUGAGGUCCUGGGUUCAAUCUCCAGUGCCUCCA
rnacentral:tRNA from 1 species